rnacentral:rRNA from 1 species
AUUGAACGCUGGCGGCAGGCCUAACACAUGCAAGUCGAGCGGAGCGGCGGCCGGGUGAGUAAUGCCUAGGAAUCUGCCUGGUAGUGGGGGAUAACGUCCGGAAACGGGCGCUAAUACCGCAUACUAUCAGAUGAGCCUAGGUCGGAUUAGCUAGUUGGUGGGGUAAAGUCCUACCAAGGCGACGAUCCGUAACUGGUCUGAGAGGAUGAUCAGUCACACUGGAACUGAGAAAAGGUCCAGACUCCUAAGGGAGGGAGCAGGGGGGAAUAUUGGACAAAUGGGGAAAGGCUGAUCCAGGCAUGGCGCGGGUGUGAAGAAGGUCUUCCGGUUGGAAAGGACUUUAAGGUGGGAGGAGGUACCAACAGAAUAAGCACCGGCUAACUUCGUGCCAGCAGCCGCGGUAAUAC